GUGGUAAGUGGCUUCGUGGUCUUUAUAGCUGUUACUCUUUUGUACUUUGUCUUUUUCUUUUAUUUUCUUUUGAGCGAUUGUGCGAACAUAGCAUAGCACGCACUAUGCCUUCUGUGUUGUAGCUGCCUGGCCAGGGCGACUGGCGGAUAAGGUCUUGUGCGUGGCCUCGAGGCUUAAAAGUAGCAGUGGGGCUUUGUGAAGGACAAAAUGGCGAUGGCGGGCCGUGUAGGUCCCCCUUCCUAUGAUGAGGACCUUUUCACAGACCUGUACUGAGCUCCGUGAGGAUAAAUAACUCUGAGGAGAUGGGCCCUGCAAGCCUCUUGCUUAGCCGUCUGUUCAGAAAAUAGCGUUUUCGAAAUGCCCUGAGUUGACCUAAUGUCUUAUUGGGCUCCUGUCUGCAGGAUUUACGCGCACGUUGGAACCGAAGAGAGCUCUGUUGUUGCACCCACAAGAGCUUACUGGUGAAGGAAUGGGACAAGACCCAUCUUUAUGCAAAGCCAGCGUUACAGUAAUGUUCCAGCAUCUCAUAAUCUAUCCUGGGGAAUUCAGCUGCCUCCCAGGGUGAAUACAGGUAUUCCUGAUGACAGUCUGCCUCUAUCUUACAGAGCAGCUUGUUGCUAUAUACCAUUGAAAAGCCUUCAGAGCUGAGAGGUACUACUAACCAAUAACCUGCUUGGCUCAAAGGGCCAGCACCUUCUCUCUAAAGCCCAAGAGGAGUUUGAGGAAAACUAGGUGUCUGUGUUCACUCCAGGCUGAAGUUACAGGUCUGAGCAAAUAAGGUGUAUAAAAAAUGGAAUCUGUCUUGGAGGACAUCAGAAGGUGAAUUUUCCAAGUUCUUGGACAACCUAGCUGUUGAAAAGCUUUCUGGGUUUGGGGGGUAUUUCAGAUGUACCUUAAAGUGUUAGCAGACACAGAUUAAGACACUGGGAGCCAAUGAAACAGCAGUUGAGGGUUUGCUGUGUAUCACAUUUCUGUAUUUUAUCACCCCCUUCCUGCAACAUUAUUUAUCUGGAAUCUACCUGCCCUUUUGUUUUUUAGAUACAAGGGCUUGGUUUUGUUACCCAGGCUGGUUUCAAGGCCAUAGCUUUAAGAGAUCCUCUCACCACAGAUUUCCAAAGUGCUGGGAUUGCAGGUGUGAUUCAUGGCACCCAGACUUUGCUGCCUUUCUUACAUGAUCCAGGCCCAGAACCCAAACUCAGGCACUGUAUAGAUGACCACUUUCGUAAACUACUGACCUAGCUUGUUGCCAAUUGUUGAUUGAACUUCCCAUAACUCCACUUCGUGUCUGUUCCUCUGUAUACAGCCACCUUCUGUUCCCGUCAUGAGCCUUUAGGUCUCCAUUUGCAUAUUGCAAAUACUAUGUUCCAUGUAGGUAGCUCAUUCAGGGCCUUGCUCUUCACUUCAAAAAAGGUUCCCUUGAGGACUGGCUGUCAAUUUGUGUUGCUGUGUUGGUUGUUGAUGAAAAUAAUAAAAUGAUUGAUUACAUA
rnacentral:lncRNA from 1 species